UACGUAGGGUGCGAGCGUUGUCCGGAUUUAUUGGGCGUAAAGAGCUCGUAGGCGGUUUGUCGCGUCGGCCGUGAAAUCUCCACGCUUAACGUGGAGCGUGCGGUCGAUACGGGCAGACUUGAGUUCGGUAGGGGAGACUGGAAUUCCUGGUGUAGCGGUGAAAUGCGCAGAUAUCAGGAGGAACACCAAUAGCGAAGGCAGCUCGCUGGGACGGUAUUGACGCUAAGGCGCGAAAGCGUGGGGAGCAAACAGG
rnacentral:rRNA from 1 species